GAUCCUGGCUCAGGAUGAACGCUAGCGGCAGGCUUAACACAUGCAAGUCGAGGGGCAUCGAGAGUAGCAAUACUUGUCGGCGACCGGCGCAAGGGUGCGUAACACGUGAGCAACAUACCCAAAUCAGGAGGAUAACCGGAGGAAACUCUGCCUAAUACUCCAUAAUAUCAUCUUAUGGCAUCAUGAAAUGAUAAAAGAUUUAUCGGAUUCGGAUUGGCUCGCGGGACAUUAGCUAGUUGGCGAGAUAACGGCUCACCAAGGCUACGAUG
rnacentral:rRNA from 1 species